rnacentral:rRNA from 1 species
UGGGGAAUUUUGGACAAUGGGCGAAAGCCUGAUCCAGCAAUGCCGCGUGUGUGAAGAAGGCCUUCGGGUUGUAAAGCACUUUUGUCCGGAAAGAAAUCCUUGGCUCUAAUACAGUCGGGGGAUGACGGUACCGGAAGAAUAAGCACCGGCUAACUACGUGCCAGCAGCCGCGGUAAUACGUAGGGUGCAAGCGUUAAUCGGAAUUACUGGGCGUAAAGCGUGCGCAGGCGGUUUGCUAAGACCGAUGUGAAAUCCCCGGGCUCAACCUGGGAACUGCAUUGGUGACUGGCAGGCUAGAGUAUGGCAGAGGGGGUAGAAUUCCACGUGUAGCAGUGAAAUGCGUAGAGAUGUGGAGGAAUACCGAUGGCGAAGGCAGCCCCCUGGCAAGUACUGACGCUCAUGCACGAAAAGCGUGGGGGAGCAAACAGGAUUAGAUACCCCUGGUAGUCCACGCCCUAAACGAUGUCAACUAGUUGUUGGGGAUUCAUUUCCUAGUAACGUAGCUAACGCGUGAAGUUGACCGCCU